AUUGAAAUUACGUAUCUGUAUCUAUUAUAAAAAAAAAUAAAUGAGGAAUGGAGUGAGGAUGAGGAAAUCAUUCCCCGUGUAGAGAUUCCCCAUUCCCACCCCACUAGGAUUAGGUAGCGUUUACAUUUUGGAUUGGAGUAUGAAUCUUGAGGAGUGGGAUCCUAGGAUUAGGAGUGUAGAGUGGGAAUGAGAGUAGGUUGUUUACUUACAUUGGAAUGAGAGAAUGAAAUUGAAACCAGAAUCCAAUUCAUGUGUUUACAUUAUCUUGGAUUGAGAGUAAAUAAUUUUAAAUUACAAUUUUACCUUUAU
rnacentral:lncRNA from 1 species